rnacentral:rRNA from 1 species
GUAACAAGGUCUCCGUAGGUGAACCUGCGGAGGGAUCAUUACAAUACGUUGCGCAUCGCCGGGGUCCGCCCACGGCGGUGUGGCGCGGUUACUUCAACCCUUUGUGAACCACAACUCUGUUGCUUCGGGGGCGACCCCGCCGUUUCGGCGGUGGUGCCCCCGGUGGCCUACCAUUAAACUCUGCAUCUCUUUGCGUCGGAGUCUUGAAUAGAAUUCAAACAAAACUUUCAACAACGGAUCUCUUGGUUCUGGCAUCGAUGAAGAACGCAGCGAAAUGCGAUAAGUAAUGUGAAUUGCAGAAUUCAGUGAAUCAUCGAAUCUUUGAACGCACAUUGCGCCCCGUGGUAUUCCGCGGGGCAUGCCUGUUCGAGCGUCAUUUCACCACUCAAGCCUGGCUUGGUAUUGGGCGCCGCGGUCGCUAGACCGCGCGCCUUAAAGUCUCCGGCUGAGCAGUCCGUCUCCGAGCGUUGUGACACAUGUCGCUAGGGAGUACGGGUCUGCCGCGGCCGUUAAAUCUUUUAACAGGUUGACCUCGGAUCAGGUAGGGAUACCCGCUGAACUUAAGCAUAUCAAUA